rnacentral:misc_RNA from 1 species
UCUUGGUUCCCUGCCAGCAUU